rnacentral:rRNA from 1 species
AGAGUUUGAUCCUGGCUCAGGACGAACGCUGGCGGCGUGCCUAACACAUGCAAGUCGAACGGAACUUAGUUGAAGGAAUUCUUCGGAAGGACAUUGGUUAAGUUUAGUGGCGGACGGGUGAGUAACGCGUGAGUAACCUGCCUCCGAGAGGGGAAUAACAAUCUGAAAAGAUUGCUAAUACCGCAUAACAUAGCGAAGUCGCAUGGCAGCGCUAUCAAAGAUUUAUCGCUCGGAGAUGGACUCGCGUCCGAUUAGUUAGUUGGUGAGGUAACGGCUCACCAAGACCGCGAUCGGUAGCCGGACUGAGAGGUUGAACGGCCACAUUGGGACUGAGACACGGCCCAGACUCCUACGGGAGGCAGCAGUGGGGGAUAUUGCGCAAUGGGGGAAACCCUGACGCAGCAACGCCGCGUGAAGGAUGAAGGUUUUCGGAUUGUAAACUUCUUUUAUUAAGGACGAAAAAUGACGGUACUUAAUGAAUAAGCUCCGGCUAACUACGUG